CUCACCUCUGCAAUAGUCCUGACCAAUGGAAAACUGUGGCAACCUAAUACAGACAAGACCACUGAGGACUUGGAUCUCACAAGAAUGAAGGAUUAGGUCACUCCAUUGGGCAAUAAGUCCCAUUCGGUGAAGGCAUUCCAAGAGGCCAAGGGGGCAGCCUGGGCAACUGGAGCCACAGGGGAACAGCAAGAGGAGGGCUGUGCUUUCACAUUCGACCCUUACAGAGGGCCUUGGCAGGGCUCCCCUUCCCUCCCCAGCCAUUUUCUGGGCUUGAAUUCAGCAUUCAGUCGAUCUCCUCAUUAGAAAGAGUGGCUCUGUGGGUCUGCAGGAUCACUCAAUACAGAGAGAAAUGUACUUACCAACCGUUAAUGCUGAGCUUGGCCGCGUGACUUGCUUGAGCUAAUGGGACGUCAGCAGACACAAAGCAAGCAAAAGCUUGGAAUAUGCUUGUGCAGUUAGAUUUGCCUUCUUGGGCCUUUGCCAUUGCCGGGAGAAGAGCAUGCCCUCCAGAUCGAGAAACCUGGGGAACAAAGCCAGAUACAGCAGGCCUGUGGCUUGAGGCAGAGCCUCCCCAGUAGACCUGCAGAUGCCAGAAUAAGGAGUAAAUGCUGACUGUUGUAUGCCACCAAGUUUUGGAUGGUUUGUUACGCAGCAUUAUUGAGGCCACAGUUGACUGAGUUAAGCUCACUCCACUCCAAGAUCCAGAUGCGUGUCUAUGGAAAUAGACUAAGAUGAGCUGGACUUACAACCAUCAGGUAGUAAUGAGAAAUUUCCUUUCAUUGAUUAAACUAUCCAGCUGGGUCAGGUUA